rnacentral:lncRNA from 1 species
AAUAACAACAGCUUACCCCCAACAGCCCACACAAUCGAUCCGACCCAUCAUUUUUCCCAUCAACAAUACACUCGUACAAACAACCAAUACAACACAGGUUCAGCCAAACCAACCAACAACAAUUAAAAACAACAAACGACCUAAACAACAAAACAACGAAACCUGCUCCAACAAUAACUACAACUGAUACAACAACAUCUACAACACGCCAGCAAUAACGUACAACGACGACACUGUCGUGUACAGCACGCAAAACAUCGACUCUAACAAUUUCAGCAUCAACGGUAACAACAAGUCAAUAAAAGCAAUACCCUCUUGCCACCCAUUUACCAAUUUACCCUUUUGGUACAACCAUCUAUGGCCAAAAAUCAGAAACUUUCACUGUCUUCAGUCCGUGAUUCACUUUUUCAGGUAAAAAAUUAACUUCCAAUGUUUCUUGUCUUUGCCUCACUGUGGAAAUCAAAACACUUAGGAAUAAUAACAAUAAUUUGAAUUUGAAAUCCAUGGGAAACCCUUAUCUUUUUUCCCUCAAAAUUCUUCUAUAAAUAGGUAGUGACAGAUGGGAAAAAAAGACUUUUUUAGGAAAAAAUUAGGGAUUUUGGAUAAGCACUCCUCUAAUCUCACGUAACCAAGAAGUUCUUGGUGAAAUUUGUUGAAAUCGUCUAAAUUCUCAGAAGAGCGAUUCAACGUCGUUAAGUUCAAGUCGAGUUUUGGAGGUGAAAAUUCAUCAUGACAGACUUGUAGUCCCAAUCCGCUAUCCAAAAAUCGGUAAGGGCUCCAUCUUUUUUUUUUUUGCACUAUUCUCUUUAAGUGGUGAACUCGUGAUGUGGUUGGGACAGGUUGAAUCUCCGUGGAAUUUUGAUUGUUUGGAUGGUGUUUUCUGGGAAUAAGGGUGAAAUCUUGAUUUGGAGGUCUAGUAAUAUUUUUUUGUUUGUUUGUUUGUUGUGAUACCUACAAAACCAUGAUGUUGCUUAUUCGGUUUGCGGGGCACAAGUUGUUAUAAAAAAAUGAACAAUUAUUCUUUAAGUGUCUAUUUGUUUGACAAAAGUGUUCGUGUAUACGCCCAAAACGUUCAUGUGCAUGUCCAAAGUGUUGUUGUUGGAGCCUAAACUUUUCGUGUUGGUAAUUGUUAGCAGUGGGUGGGGAUUAUUUGGACUUUUUAUUUCUUGAAACUUAUUUGUUAUUUGUUGAAUUGAUGAGUGUGCUCCAGUACUCAUGUUGAAGUCUGGUCAUUUUUUGAUGAGUUUUUGUGUAAGGGGAGAAGGAUAUACUUAGCUACUUCGCAUCAAAGUGAUCUUGUCAUGUAAUGCAGAUUGUUGUCUCCUUGAUCUCAAAUGUAUAUUAUUAUGUAGAUUAGGAUUAUCAUUAGUUCUUAACCAACAGUUCUUGUUCUCAUGUUUCUUAUACUAUCCCAUGUUUCUUCUAUCAUGUCUAAAUUUUAAGAGAACUUUUAACAAAUAAAAUGAACAAAUAAGAAUAAUUGUUUUGUUCGAGUUAAAGGACAGCUAUAGGUAUUUCUUCUUUUAUGGUAUAUUUUUGGACAACUUAAUUGCAUUGGUUGAUAAAGUUUUCUUUAAAUAAAUAGUAAGUGAUUUUCUCUAAUAAAUGUAUAUAUGUAUGUUUAUAUCAAGUAUAUGUUUUUGAUAUAAACGUAGCUUAAGUUAUGUACUAAUCCUUAUAUUUUAUUUGAUACAUGUGAAUUCAUCCGAUUGGACUCAACACCCCACAUUCCUUUUGGGUCAAUCCCGAAAUCGGGUUGAGCCUUAUUAGAGUCCAAACUAGAGUAAUAUACACAGGACAACACAAGUAUAUAGGAUGGUAUAUACCUGUCUACAGCUGAUAUACACUGGAAGGAAGCUGAUAUGGUGCACAUUAAAAGUAGAAGCAAACAUGCUGAUUUUUUUAUGCUGAUAGGCAGAGUAUACUGGGUUUUAUACACAUAUAUACAACGUAUAUACACAAAAACUCAAUAAAAUGAAGCUGAUAUACAGUAAGUAUACAGCUGGUAUACAACUACAGAAAUGGACCAAAAUUCCAUGAAGAAUGGGCCCAAAAGCCAGAUUUGGAAAGGGCCCAAAUUUUAAUUCUUCUUAUUCAUUUCCUUCUAAAUCCUAUUUGAUUAUGUGCUUGUAUUAAAUUAUCAAUUUGGUUAGCCUUUAUAAAUCCCCUUUAAUCAUUAUUUUUGUUGUCUCUAUAUAUUUCCUUCGGGUAUUUCAUUUUAUAGCGUAAUAUUUGAAAUUAAUAAAAAU